UACGUAGGGUGCAAGCGUUAAUCGGAAUUACUGGGCGUAAAGCGUGCGCAGGCGGUGAUGUAAGACAGGUGUGAAAUCCCCGGGCUUAACCUGGGAAUUGCAUCUGUGACUGCAUAGCUAGAGUACGGUAGAGGGGGAUGGAAUUCCGCGUGUAGCAGUGAAAUGCGUAGAUAUGCGGAGGAACACCGAUGGCGAAGGCAAUCCCCUGGACCUGUACUGACGCUCAUGCACGAAAGCGUGGGGAGCAAACAGG
rnacentral:rRNA from 1 species